UCGAAUCUAACAUGAAAGAGGUAGAGAGACUGUGCUGGCCGAUCGCCGAUCGCUGAUCGGCAUGUGCACGUCCCCUCGCCUUUUUCUGUCUACAUACACCUGUGCACCUAUUGUAGAUCCCCUCGAAAGAGAGGGAACUAUGUUUUCAUCACAUCACACGCAAAGAAUGUCUAGAAUGUACAAAUAACAAAUAUAUA
rnacentral:misc_RNA from 1 species